rnacentral:rRNA from 1 species
AGGGCGCAAGGGGAAUGCCUUGGCAUUGGAAGCCGACGAAGGACGUAGCGAUCUACGAUAAGCCACGGGAAGACGAAAGCAGUCCUUGAUCCGUGGAUUUCCGAAUGGGGAAACCCGAUUGAGCAAUACUCAAUCAACCCUUUGUGAAUUAAAUAGCAAUUGGUAGGGAACCGCCUGAACUGAAACAUCUAAGUAGGGCGAGGAAGAGAAAUCAACCGAGAUUCCGCUAGUAGUGGCGAGCGAACGCGGAAGAGGCCAAACCAAGAGUAGUAAUACUUUUGGGGUUUUGGACAGCGUAAGGUAUUAACAACGGUUAGUUGAAUGAAAUGGGAAGUUCAACCAUAGAGCGUGAGAGUCGCGUAAACGAAAACUGAAGUUAGCCGGCUGGAUCCAGAGUACCGCCGGACACGUGAAACCCGGUGGGAAGACGGGGGGACCACCCUCCAAGCCUAAAUACUCUCCAAUGACCGAUAGUGUAAAGUACUGUGAAGGAAAGGUGAAAAGAACCCCUGGCGGGGAGUGAAAAAGAACCUGAAACCUUGUGCCUACAAGCACAUAGAGCGCGUCAAAGCGUGAUAUGGUACCUUUUGUAGAAUGGUCCGGCGAGUGAAUGUCACUAGCAAGGUUAAUGACUUAAGGUCAGGAGCCGCAGCGAAAGCGAGUCUUAAUAGGGCGACAUUAGUUAGUGGUAUUCGACCCGAAACCGAGUGACCUAGCCAUGAGCAGGCUGAAGUGGAGGUAAAACUCCAUGGAGGGCCGAACCCACUCCCGUUGAAAUGGUAGGGGAUGACUUGUGGCUAGCGGAGAAAUUCCAAUCGAACUCGGAGAUAGCUGGUUCUCUCCGAAAUAGCUUUAGGGCUAGCCUCAAUAUACAUUACCGCAGGUAAAGCACUGAAUGAGCUAGGGGGCGAAAGCUUACUGAACUCUAUCAAACUAAGAAUGGCGGAUAAUGAAAUAUUGGGAGUCACACUACGUGAGAUAAGUUUCGUGGUGGAAAGGGAAACAGCCCAGACCCACAGCUAAGGUCCCAAAGUACGGUUAAGUGGAAAAGGAUGUGGAGUUGCACAGACAACCAGGAUGUUGGCUCAGAAGCAGCCACUCAUUUAAAGAGUGCGUAAUAGCUCACUGGUCGAGUGAUUCUGCGCCGAAAAUUUAACGGGGCUAAAUCGUACACCGAAGCUUGGGAAUAUACAUUUGUAUGUUGGUAGGAGAGCGUUGUAUGCGGGGUGAAGUCAUAGCGAAAGCGGUGGUGGACUGCAUACAAGUGAGAAUGCCGGAAUGAGUAGCGAGAAUUAUGUGAGAAUCAUAAUGGCCGAAAGACUAAGGUUUUAGAAGGAAGGUUCGUCCGCUUCUAGUUAGCCGGGAGCUAAGGCGAGGCCGAAAGGCGUAGUCGAUGCACAUACGGUUGAGAUUCCGUAGCCACCUACGAUUUAAACUAAAGGACACAUCUGAAGGGCAUGACCCGGGCGUUGGUAGACCCGGGCGUAAGGGACCGAAAACAAGUAGGGAAGCAUGUUUGGAAGGUGGCGAGAAAAGUUUAGUGUAUAUAAUGUAGGUGCCCGUACUGCAAACCGACACAGGUAGUCAGGAAGAGAAUUCUAAGGCCAUCGGGAGAAGCGUUGUUAAGGAACUCGGCAAAUUGACCCCGUAACUUCGGAAUAAGGGGUGCUCACGAGAGUGAGCCGCAGUGAAUAGGUCCAGGCAACUGUUUAUCAAAAACACAGCUCUCUGCUAAAUCGUAAGAUGACGUAUAGGGGGUGACACCUGCCCGGUGCUGGAAGGUUAAGAGGAUGGGUGCAAGCUCAGAAUUGAAGCCCCAGUAAACGGCGGCCGUAACUAUAACGGUCCUAAGGUAGCGAAAUUCCUUGUCGGGUAAGUUCCGACCCGCACGAAUGGUGUAAUGAUCUGGACACUGUCUCAACAACGCACCCGGCGAAAUUGUAGUACCGGUGAAGAUGCCGGUUACCCGCGGCAAGACGGAAAGACCCCAUGGAGCUUUACUGUAGCUUAGUAUUGGGUCUCGGUAUUUUAUGUACAGGAUAGGCGGGAGACUGGGAAGCAAGCACGCUAGUGUUUGUGGAGUCGUCCUUGGGAUACCGCUCUUAAAGUAUUGAGAUUCUAACCUGCAACCUUGAAUCAGGUUGGGGGACAUUGCUAGGUGGGCAGUUUGACUGGGGCGGUCGCCUCCAAAAGAGUAACGGAGGCGUUCAAAGGUUGGCUCAGCACGGACGGAAACCGUGCCUUAGAGUGU